rnacentral:rRNA from 1 species
AACAGGAUUAGAUACCCUGGUAGUCCACGCCGUAAACGAUGUCGACUUGGAGGUUGUUCCCUUGAGGAGUGGCUUCCGGAGCUAACGCGUUAAGUCGACCGCCUGGGGAGUACGGCCGCAAGGUUAAAACUCAAAUGAAUUGACGGGGGCCCGCACAAGCGGUGGAGCAUGUGGUUUAAUUCGAUGCAACGCGAAGAACCUUACCUACUCUUGACAUCCACGGAAUUUGGCAGAGAUGCCUUAGUGCCUUCGGGAACCGUGAGACAGGUGCUGCAUGGCUGUCGUCAGCUCGUGUUGUGAAAUGUUGGGUUAAGUCCCGCAACGAGCGCAACCCUUAUCCUUUGUUGCCAGCGAUUCGGCCGGGAACUCAAAGGAGACUGCCGGUGAUAAACCGGAGGAAGGUGGGGAUGACGUCAAGUCAUCAUGGCCCUUACGAGUAGGGCUACACACGUGCUACAAUGGCGCAUACAAAGAGAAGCGACCUCGCGAGAGCAAGCGGACCUCAUAAAGUGCGUCGUAGUCCGGAUUGGAGUCUGCAACUCGACUCCAUGAAGUCGGAAUCGCUAGUAAUCGUAGAUCAGAAUGCUACGGUGAAUACGUUCCCGGGCCUUGUACACACCGCCCGUCACACCAUGGGAGUGGGUUGCAAAAGAAGUAGAUAGCUUAACCUUCGGGAGGGCGUUUACCACUAUGUGAUUCAUGACUGGGGUGAAGUCGUAACAAGGUAACC